rnacentral:rRNA from 1 species
UACGUAGGCAGCGAGCGUUGUUCGGAAUUACUGGGCGUAAAGAGUGUGUAGGCGGUGCUCCAAGUCUGUUGUGAAAUCUCCCGGCUUAACUGGGAGGGUGCGGCGGAAACUAGAGUGCUAGAGGGUGGGAGAGGUAAGCGGAAUUCCUGGUGUAGCGGUGAAAUGCGUAGAUAUCUGGAGGAACACCGGUGGCGAAGGCGGCAUCCUGGACCGACACUGACGCUGAGGAGCGAAAGCCAGGGGAGCAAACGGG